UGGGGCGUGGCCAAGUGGUAAGGCAACGGGUUUUGAUCCCGCUAUUCGGAGGUUCGAAUCCUUCCGUCCCAA
rnacentral:tRNA from 3 species